GGAUAACUGUGGUAAUUCUANAGCUAAUACAUGCAAAUAGAGCUCCGACCGGAGACGGAAGGAGUGCUUUUAUUAGAUCAAAACCAAUCGGUGGCGAGUCCGCUCGUCAUCGUACAACUUGGUGACUCUGAAUAACUUUACGCUGAUCGCACGGUCUCGCACCGGCGACGCAUCUUUCAAAUGUCUGCCUUAUCAACUGUCGAUGGUAGGUUCUGCGCCUACCAUGGUUGUAACGGGUAACGGGGAAUCAGGUUCGAUUCCGGAGAGGGAGCCUGAGAAACGGCUACCACAUCCAAGGAAGGCAGCAGGCGCGCAAAUUACCCACUCCCGGCACGGGGAGGUAGUGACGAAAAAUAACGAUACGGGACUCAUCCGAGGCCCCGUAAUCGGAAUGAGUACACUCUAAACCCUUUAACGAGGAUCAAUUGGAGGGCAAGUCUGGUGCCAGCAGCCGCGGUAAUUCCAGCUCCAAUAGCGUAUAUUAAAGUUGUUGCGGUUAAAAAGCUCGUAGUCGAAUUUGUGUCUCGUGCCGCUGGUUCAUCGUCCGCGGUGUUAACUGGCGAGUCGCGAGACGUCCUGCCGGUGGGCUUAGCUCGUAAGGGCGGCCCAACUCAAUCCUGCCGCGGUGCUCUUCAUUGAGUGUCGAGGUGGGCCGGCACGUUUACUUUGAACAAAUUAGAGUGCUUAAAGCAGGCUAAAACUUCGCCUGAAUACUGUGUGCAUGGAAUAAUGGAAUAGGACAUNGNUUAUACCUUGUUGGUNUUCGGAACCCCGAGGUAAUGNUUAAUAGGAACGGAUGGGGGCAUUCGUAUUGCGACGUGAGAGGUGAAAUUNUUGGAUCGUCGCAAGACGUACAGAGCGAAGGCAUUGCCAAAAACGCUUUCACUGAUCAAGAACGAAAGUUAGAGGUUCGAAAGCGAUCAGAUACCGCCCUAGUUCUAACCAUUAACGAUGCUAGCUAGCGAUCCGUCGACGUUCCUCCGAUGACUCGACGGGCAGCUUCCGGGAAACCAAAGCUUUUGAGUUCCGGGGGAAGUAUGGUUGCAAAGCUGAAACUUAAAGGAAUUGACGGAAGGGCACCACCAGGAGUGGAGCCUGCGGCUUAAUUUGACUCAACACGGGAAACCUCACCAGGCCCGGACACCGGAAGGAUUGACAGAUUGAGAGCUCUUUCUUGAUUCGGUGGGUGGUGGUGCAUGGCCGUUCUUAGUUGGUGGAGCGAUUUGUCUGGUUAAUUCCGAUAACGAACGAGACUCUAGCCUGCUAACUAGGCGUAUUUUGACAUCCUAAAGGCCCGCCGGCUCGGGGUUCGCUCCUUGUCGCGCGCGGUUUUUACUGUCGGCGUACAAACAAUUCUUCUUAGAGGGACAGGCGGCUUCUAGCCGCACGAGAUUGAGCAAUAACAGGUCUGUGAUGCCCUUAGAUGUUUUGGGCCGCACGCGCGCUACACUGAAGGAAUCAGCGUGUCCUCCCUGGCCGAGUGGCCCGGGUAACCCGCUGAACCUCCUUCGUGCUAGGGAUUGGGGCUUGCAAUUGUUCCCCAUGAACGAGGAAUUCCCAGUAAGCGCGAGUCAUAAGCUCGCGUUGAUUACGUCCCUGCCCUUUGUACACACCGCCCGUCNUC
rnacentral:rRNA from 1 species